rnacentral:rRNA from 1 species
UACGGAGGGUGCAAGCGUUAUCCGGAUUUACUGGGUUUAAAGGGUGCGUAGGUGGGUUUGUAAGUCAGUGGUGAAAUCUCCGAGCUUAACUCGGAAACUGCCAUUGAUACUAUAGAUCUUGAAUUAUCUGGAGGUAAGCGGAAUAUGUCAUGUAGCGGUGAAAUGCGUAGAUAUUGCUCGGAAGGCCAGAGCCGAAGGGGCCCUACUGGUGCGCAACUGACACUGAGGCACGAAAGCGUGGGGAGCAAACAGG